AGACGCUGUGCUCACAAUGCUGUGUGGCUUCUGUCGUUGGCUCUGGCAAGAAGAGAGCUGGCAGGUAUUUCUCACAUCUUUGUCAAUCGAGGGGAGGAGUUCCAAAGUAGUCCUGGGGUGUGGAUUUCUGCCAAGUCUCCUUUGAUUUGUUAUUAAGUUAGGAAAAAAUUUAAAAGACACUCCUGGAUGAGCCUGUGGUCGCUUGAGGUAAGUGCAGUGUGGUAGAAGGCGCUUCCCCCAUACUUGGAGUCAGACAGCCCUGCGUCCGAAUGAGGCUCCUUUGCCUGCAAGUCCUGUGACCUAGGCCAGUUUCCUUAGCCUCCGUCACCUAACCUCAGUCUGCCCAUAUGUAAAAUAGCUCAUACCUUCUGCAGGAACGAAGCUCCACGAAGGCAGGGAUGUUCGUCUGUCUGUUUGCUCCUGUGUUCCAGUACCUGACGUAGAUUUCUCUGGGGACUGUGUUGACAACAGUGAAGGGAGACAAAGAUGGAAGCAGAAGACCCACUGUGAAGACUUGGUGACAACGGGGUGAGAGGGGACGGCGCUCAGACUUGGGUGGCAGAGGAGGUAAGACGUGGUCAGACUCUGAACAUCUUUUGAGGGAAGAACCAACAAAAUUUGCUGACAGAUUGGAAGGGCAAUGUGAAAAAGAGAGAGGAGUUAAGAAUGACUUCAAGGAUUUUGGACCUGAGCAAAUGGAAAGAGUGAGCUGUCAUGAACGGAGGUGAGAAAGACGACAAGAGAAAGGAUUUGGGGAUGUUUGGUGAGGUAGGGGUCAGGAAGCUGGUUUUUGUCAACAUGUUCAAUGGGAGAUGCCUGAAGACACCCAUGGGAUGUGCUGAGCAGCAGGGGAGAGGCUGGGCUGGAGAGACACUUGGGACCAACAGUGUAUAGAUGGUAUUUGAAGCCAGGAGGCUGCGGGAGGUCACAGAGGAGUGAGGGUGGGGACGGAAAAGAAGAGGGCUGAGGACCGGGCCCUAGGCCUCCUGUGCAAAGUGUUGGGGAAGGUGGAGAGUACUCAGCAAAGGAGACCGAGGUGAAGCCACCAAGAUAGGAGGGGAAUCCAAAGAUCGCUGUCCUGACAGCCAAGUGCAGAAAGAGCUUCCGGGAGGAGGAAGUGAAUGGUGUGUCCAGUGCUCUGUCAGCUCCGUUAAGAUCCAGACUGAGACUUGACCAUCAGAUUUACGGAGAGGGGUCACUGUUGACUUUAACAAGAGCCCUGUGGAGGAAGGGCGGGGGUGCGAGCCUGACCAGAGUGCCUCCAAGAGCAAGAGAGAGGAGAAGAUUGGGAAUUAGGGCAGGUACUUGACUCUGAGGAGCAAAGAAGCAGAGUGACAGACGGAAGAGGAUGUGGGCUCAAGAGACGGGUGUGUGUGUGUGAGAGAGACAUAUCAGCGCGCCUGCAUGCUGAUGAGAAUGAUCAAGUCUUGAGGAGACCUUCAGGAUGCGGGUGAAGAGGAGAGACUUGCUGGAGCCAUGGCCUUGAGAGAAUGAGAGCAGACGGCAUCCCGCGCCCCGUGGAGGAGGGGUGUUUGCUGGGAGCACAGGCACACAGCUGUACAAUGGAAGAGCGGUCCCCGCAGAGGGCAGAGGAGGCGGGGCGGGGCGUUCCCAGAGCCAGCACAGGGUGAGAGACACCCACGUUCCAUAGCAGGGACAUGUGCAGGCAUUUGCUCUCGGCUAUUUACAUACAUUAGCUUCAAAUUCUUGCAACAACCCAAUGAGAUAAAUGCUGUCACUGUGCCCAGUUUAGGUAGAAUACUGAGGCAUAGCAAUGUUCAGAAUUUUGUCCAAAGUCACACAAGUAGCAAUCGGCAUAGUCUGGCUGAUGACCCCUGCUCGCUGUACCAGGAUGAACGGAGGGACGACGGCUCAGCGGCAGCUGGACGAGAAGCUGCAGAGUUUGGUGAACCCAGAGCUGCGAUGAACUGACUGGUUUCUCCUUCUGAGAUGUCUGCUCAUUUGCAGGGCACUUUUCAGUCAUUCCCAACCGAGUCAGGAGGCCAGCAGGCAGAGGCGGGGCCAGGUCAAGCUCCCAGUGUGGCCUUGGUGCAGUCCGGAGUAUCGUUCCUCCCCACGGCCAUACAUUUUCCAUUGAUUCCCACAGGGAUUAUGGUGGCGUUUCCUCUCCUUUCCCUUCAAAGACACUCCUAGGAGCCUGAGCUCCUGGAUUGCAGUCCCCCGUCUUCCUGAGGAAGGGAAGGGAGGGAGGACAUGUUGAGGUGGCGUAGAACUGGUUCUGGCGCAGGCUGGCUGACUCGCUGCAAUCCUCUGGGCCUUGGCUGCGCGAGGCAGACAGGCCAGGCUGGGAUCUUCGUUCAUGGACUCCCGUGUUCCGUCAGCACACGGGUACCGCGUGCAGCUGUGUGCCGGCAUAGCACAGGGCACUGAGAUACGACCACCAGCACGAAGGGUGCGUCCUGCCUUUGUGAGCGUGCAGUCUGUGGGGGCGGGGUGAGGGGAGGCACUGAUAGCCACACGACUCUAAACGGGAUGCACGCUCUGAAGGAAUUUCCCAGCAUGCUGUGAGAGUCCCCUUUCCUGAGCACUUGUGUAAUGUGUGGGAAAUCUGACUGAGGCUUGACCACAAAACAAAACUGUCUUCAUUCAUUGUUCAUUCAUUCAUUCCUUCAAAAAAUUGUAACGAGCACCUGCCUUCUGGAGCAGUGGCUUUGUGUUUUGCAUUCCCCAACGAAGGGAUAAAUCAAGGCUGAUAGGAAGAUAUGACAUGAAAUGGGGCUGGGAACAAGUUUAUUUGGUCAACCAAAUUCAAGAGACAUUCGCUAUGUUUUGCUGUGGGCCCGGCGCUAGGACAUGAGUGUGUCGGGGUCAGGACGUGAUGGUGUCUGCCCUCAGGGAGCUCUUGGGGAACCCUGGGGUCUAAGUCUUGGGCAGAGGGGAGUAAGCUGGACCAGGGUGAGCCCACUGGGGUUUGAAUCUGGGCUUCACCACACAAGAGUAUAAGACCUAAGGGGAAUUUUGAAACAUUCUGUAGCCUCCAUUUUCUCAUCUGUAUAUAAAAAUAAGGACAUUUCUCAAUAUUAUUAUAUACUGUGCUAAGCACUGAGCGUGCACUACUUCAUUGACCCACAUAACAGCCUUAGAGGUAUGUUCUUUCCUUUCUCCAUUUAACUGAUGGGGAAACCGAAGCUCAGAAACGAAAAGAGAUGCUGAUGUCAUAAUGCUGCCAAGGGCUCUCUUUUAUUCUCACAAGAUAUAGGACAGGUGGCUGACAGAGACCCCACAACCCUCAGGCAACGUGGGCUCCAAACUUGUCUGAUCCAUCAUCUCUCUUAGAAACGCUACAAAACAUGUCCUCAUCGAUCUUGUUUAUUUAGAAACAAAGACCUGUCCUACCAUCCGUCUACAUGGCAAAGAUUCACUUCUUAUCUUGGAUAAAAUCAAAUAUACAUAAAGAUUGCAUCUAAACAUAAAUACAGAUACAAUUGCUCCCUGCCCCCCAGUGAGUCACUGAGCACUUGGAGACCAUGCUCCCAGAUCACUUCACGGGGGACAAUGGUGCCCAGAGAGGCCAAGCAACUUGUCCAGUUGCUCAGUGGCAGUAGACCGCUGGGGAGAUUUUGCCCCCAGGUGACACUGGGCAAUAUCUGGAGACAUUUUUCAUUGUCGUGACUGAUGUGUGGGGUGAAAGGGAUGCUGCUGGAACCCAGUAGUAGAAGCCAGGAAUUCUGUUAAGCCAGGAGCCCACAGUGCACAGGACAGACCCCCACAGCAAAGGAUUACCCGGCCGCAAAUGUGAAUAGCACCAAGGCUGAGAAACCCUGGUCUCAGCCCUCUGGGGCCAGGUGGCCUGAGUGUGAAUUUGGGCUCUGUUGCUGGCUGGCAACCGUGAGCACAUUACUUAACCUCUGACCUCCAGUUUUUUCGGCUGAAACGGAGGUUAAUAAUACCAGUGUGGGAAGACGGUGGCAUUAAAUGAGACCCUUUCUAUGCGAAAGGCCAAGGGUUAAUUCUCAUCUUGUUCUCCCACGCCCCUGUCCUCAGUGGUCUCAGCUCUUCCGUGAAGUUGACUUAUUUCCCAGGGCGACUGGGAAGGGUCGGCCGAAAGCCGCCAAGGGCAUUGGAAGCUACACAAGCGCUCUAAAUGCUAAGGAGCCAGGCCAAUCGGUCAGAAAGUUCCAACGCGGGUUUCCAUGUUGCAAGACCUGAGGCAGCGCCCAGGAGAGGGCGCGAGCUGGGGGUGUCUGUGAGCUGCGGGUGCCAGUGGGAGGGGUAAGUUCAGUCUGUCUACAGCAGGGCGGCAGCCUCCCUCCUUCUGUCCCACCUCUUCUCUGAACAUUUCCUGCUCCACUUCUUGGAACUGUCUCUCCCUUCUUUCUUUCCUUUCUUGCCUACUUCCUUCCAGUGAACAGACUUCAGACAUCAUCACACAGAGACAACCCAGUCCUGACCAUCACUGUAGACAGACAUAGAAACAGACCCUUGCAAUCCGUGUCCUGGUACAGAGGGGCGCCAGGAAGGAGGUGGUCCAGCCUAUCUGAGAAUGGAGAGAGGGUUUGGGAAAAAGGUUCUUGGAGGUGUGGCUGGAGCUGUGAGACCCAGCCCCCAUCUCUAACCAGGUUAGAUGCCUCUGCUACCAGGUUGUCAGUAGACUGUAGGCAUCGUGUGGGCAGGGACUUCUAUUUUGUUCCCUGUUGGAGCCUCAGAGCCUGGAAUGGUGCCUAGCAUAUGGUGGGCACUACUACAUAUUUGUGGAAUGAAUAAACAGUGUUUAGAAAUUUGCCAAAUGGGCCUGGGAGAGAAGGGAAGGGCAUUCGGAGCACGGGGAACAGAACUAGCAAAGGCAGGCAAAAGAUGAGAAUUAUGAAAGAUAUAGGAGGAAAUGCUGGGGAUGGUUAGUGAGCUGGGCACGUGGCCCCAGCCCAGGGCUGGUAGCAGAGGCCUUGCAUGUGUGCGGCAAGUCAUUGUAAGUUAUCCGAAGAUGAGAGGAUAUUUUUUUCAGGGAAAGGGUGCAUUAAGAAAGAAAGAGUUGGGAAGGGCAUGACAGCACUCAUUCAGCAACAUUUACUGAGUGCCUGUGAGGUUCCAGGCACUGCGCUAGCCUGGGAGAGAGAUAGCAGGGGCCAGAACCAGUGGGGAUGGGACUCAGGAGCUAAGCUUCGCACAGCACUGAGUGAGCGCCUGCUGCCUGACUGGGGGUGGGCUGGAGGAGGCUGCUGGGGGAAGGGCCAGUCAAGCAGGACUCUGUGGUUUUAUGCCACAGGAACUGACAGGGUGCUGGAGUCAUCGAGGAAAAUAGAGACUACAGAAAGAAACGGGUUGGAGUAGAAAGUGCACUGUGUGACUUUGGGCCAAUUCCUUCUGUGAGCCUUAGUUACUAUUUUUAACAUUAUCAUGAUUACAAACCAGGCAUAGGAGCUUUAUGUACCCAUUUCAUUUAAUCCUUAUAACAUUUCUGCAAAGGAGAUAUUCUCUCCCCCAUUUUACAAAUGGAGAAAUUGAGGCACAGAACUUUAAAUGAUUUCCCAAGGUCAUAGAGCUAGUAAGAUGCUGGGAGAAGCAACAGCGGCAUUGAAGGAUGUCAGACUCCCAAUCCAUUCCUUUCUCCCUCCACCCAGCUCCAAGAAGCUCACCUCAGACACUGGCCUCCAGGCCACCAGCUUAAUCUUGAGAGGUCCAAACUGCUGCUGGAGCCAUCCGGGCUCCCCGGGUCUGCGCUGGGGCAGCGGGUCCGAGCCCCCUGCGGCUAGAAGCUGCGCUCUUCUCAGGACCAUUCCCCACAGACCAUUCCCUCGGUGGAGCCUGGAAAGAAGGUUAAAGGCGACUUCUGCACGUCAGUCAAGAGGCUCCUUCUUGCGAGUGUGACAUCUUAGCCUGAGCGAGGCCGUGCCCAUCUCUAACACAGGGCGGCUGCCAGCGCGUCUCGGGAGGAGCCGGGAAAGACUGCAGGCACCUGCAUGGGGCUUCUCGCGUGGCGAGUGCUCGAUCCACGGAGGAGACACUGGAGGGGUGGCCGGGCCCACAGGCCCCCGGGAGGCAGUUUGCUCUCCUUCAAACCCCAGUUCAUCACAGCUCACACCAGCUGUGACAUGUGGGGCAGGUCUUAAUCUCUUAGUGCCUUGGUUUCUUGAUCUGUAAAACUGGUGUAAUAACAGAAUCUACUCUGUAGGGUAGUAGCAGAGAUGAAAGGAAUGGAGAUGAGAGAUGCCUGAUGCACUCAGAACACCGCCUCCUACCUCCCCAGUGGAACGGCCCAAGGACUCCUGCCCAUGCCUUUCUCAGAAACCAGCCCCCCCACAAAGGAGGAGGAGUCAUUGCGAGCAGGCUCCAACGAAGAGGAAGGGAAUAGUGGCUUUGAUUCAUUCUUUUCUCCAACGUUUUUUUAUUGAGCAUUUAAUUUGCAGCAUGUCAAACACUUAGGUGCCAGGGAGGCUCCACAAGCAAGACGGCACCACACCCCAAGGAACUCGAGGUGGAAAACGAGACCGGGGGAUAAGGAACCGAGAAGCCCGGCGUGUUGGGUCACAGCAGGGGAGAGUCAGGACUUCUGGUUGGGAAUGGCAUUUGCAAAGAUACCGAAUGUUCACGCUUUGCCUUGCACAGCUAUUUGCAUUCAGUAAGAGGAAAUUGUGGGUUUUAUUACCAAAAUGGUUGAUUAUGAAAAUGAUGAAGAUAAUGAUGUCCUUGGAAAUGACUCCAGCAUGUGAAGGUGGAGGAGGGGAGAACGAUGGGAGAGGAGGCUGGGAGUGGGGCAAGCAGAGUCUGGGUCCAAAAGGUCCCAGUGAGCCAGACAGGGAGUUUAAAUUUCAUCCUGGAAGCAGCAAGGCCCCUGGGAAGAAUUUCAAGCAGGAGAGGUGGGUGGCCAGCUCUGUUUUAACGAGAUCAUACCGGAGGCUGCGUUGAGGCUGGGUUGGAGUGAGGUUGACUGGAGUCUGGGAACAUUAGAAAGGUAACUGGCAGCUGGCCUCACUGGGGGGCAGGGGAAAGGGGGCACCACCUCACCUGGACUUGAGAUGAGCUGUGUCACAUCCAGGCCUCAAUUCUAUCAACUUGAGCUUAGUGUAUAUGAAUCCAAAAGGGAAUAAUGUCCACUGACUUCCCAGCUGUCUCCAGGAAUGAAGAUUGGCAACCUGGUCCCUCUCUUUUCUGAGGCCCUGGGCAGCCAGAGGGCCAGGGUCAUGGGCUUGGCUGUGGUAGGCAGAAUAAUGGCCCCCCCCAAAUACGUCAAGGUCCUAAUCCCCAGAAUGUGUGAGUAUGUCACUUUACAUGAUAAAAAAGACUUAGCAGAUGUGAUUAAGAUAAGGGUCUUGAGAUGGGGAGAUUAUCUUGGAUCAUCCCAGGUGAGAGGAUGCUGCACUGCUGGCUUUGAAGACGGAGGAAGCGGCCUUGAGCCUGGGCACGUAGGCACCUCUAGAAAGUAGAAAAGGAGCACAAACAGAGGCACUCUCAACAAGAAUAUACACCUAUGUGCUGGGGGGCUUUGGGAAGGGAAGAAAAAAUGAAAGUGGAAAAGGCAAAGAAUGGGACCCUCCCCUGCAGCCUCCAGAAGGGCCGGCUCUGUCUGUCGGCAUGACUUCAGCCCAGUGCCGCCGGCUCGGGACUUCCCACCUCCAGCAGCAGCACAAGACAGCAUGCGGCUUUACGCCACCAAGUUUGAGCUCAUCUUAGGAAUUGAAAGGAGGGUGUUCUUUUUCUUCCCUUAGUUCCUGCCCAGGGCCAGGACUAGCUGGAGGGGGACCAUCCAGGAAAGCUCCAAACCGUGUUUGUCCUGGAGGCUGAGGAGACGCCAACGGGUGAGAGAGGGAGGAGAGCGCACAGAUGCAGUGCAGACGCUGCCCUGGAGAGAACGCUGCUCCGGGCCAGGCUCGUGCUGGGCGCUCUCAUGGACUGCCUCACUCUCCUCUCAAUAACCAGGGGGAAACUGAGGCACACAGAUUUUAAGUAACUUGCCUGAGGCCGCACAGCUAUAAGCGGCAGAGCAGAGACCUGCCCCCGUGUGCCGCUGGAGCCCACGCUCUUUACCUUGCACUGUAUCCUAGGAGGAGCCGGGGGUGGGGGAGGCACUGUGGGGCGUUCCUCGAGUGGGAACCUGUGUCACCAGCCGCCCAAACUUCUGCUUGCCCGAGGUGUCUUGUCUCUCCCCGUUUCAGGAUAGCGGCGAAGGAAGGGGAAUUCCCUCUCUGUCUCUCUCUGUCUGUAUAACCCUUGACCCCUCUGCUGGAGCUUUCCCUGGAAAGGAUGUGACCCAAGAUGAGAUAUCAGGAAAGCAGGUGUGUCUGGCCGUGUUUGACCCUCAGCAGUUCUGUGGCCUUGACUUCAUCCUGAGCUAUCAGAGUGGGCAGGAGUAUAUUUCAGACGGGGAAACUGAGACCCAGAGUAGGAAUUGUCUUGCCCAGAAUGGUUUCUGCAAGGGGCAGUUUUCCACCCUCAGGAGGCCUCUUUGUCAUGGACUAUGGAGGUGGCAAAAGAGAUACAAUGCGUGUCUAUAACCAGGCUCUGCAGUGGCAUCUGAUGCGGCUUUUCUGGUCUGCCUCAGUCACAGAUUAUGAUAAAAAUUCCUGGUUCAGCCACUUAACUGGCUGAGUGACCCUGGGCAAGUUAUCCAACCCCUCUGUGCCUCAGUUUCAUCACCUAGAAAAUGGGGAUUACCUAUGUAAAGUGUUUCCUGCUCUGGUGGAUGAGGCGGGGGCAAAGAGACAAUGAUGCCAGUACCCAACACUUCCAAAACAGGGAGCGCUGGAUGGGCUCGGACCUGACGCCGAACCCCUUUCUGUUCUUUUUCUCCUCUCAGUUCUUCUCCCCAGAGUUUUCACAGGAAUUGAGAAUCGUCAGAGAGAGUUUGGUCACAUCCGGUUCUACCUGCCCCUGACAGGGGGAGCGGUGAGCCUUGGGAGCAUCUGGGAGGCCAGGGCUGCACACUCAGGGCUGCCAGCUCAGGGGGAGGUCCGGGUUUGCUGUGGGGGGGCAGCCAAUGCGGGGAGGAGCCAAGGGAAGCCCCUCCCCCGGGAGGUGUGGGCCCAGCCUUGCUCCUGUCCCGCUCUGGCUUCACUCUCUUGGGCUACAGAGACAUCCAUAAAUGAUGUGCCCUCUCUUAAUGACUGCAGCCACCAUGUGCAGGGGCUUUGACAGGGUUCACUUGGUGAGCCCAACAGGCCACUGAGGCAGUAAUGCCUAGCCCAUUUCAACAGCGGAAGAAGCAGGAGCCCACACACUCUGGCCCGCAGGCUCCAGAGGUCCUGCUCGGUCUAGCACUGCAUCCCUCCAUGCUCCCUCACUCAUCCCACUCCCGCCCCCUCCUGCGGGGCCGCCUCCGUGCUGGCCCCAGACAGACCCUGUGCUGAGGUCCCCCACCCUCGCACGUGUCCCCUACCCCUGUGUCACCUCUCUGAGCCCUUUCUUUAAGGUCAGUUUGAAGCUCCCUGCUUCCCUUCCUCCCUUCCACAAACCUUCCGAACAACUUCUGUCUCCCUCCUCGACAAAACCUCGAAUAGACCCCUGCACCCCCCGAGUUGUCAGAAGGGACAGCGUGGCCAGGAAGGGAUGGCACUUGUUGACGCUUGCCACAUGCUGCCUACUGUGCAAAACAGUUUACAUGUAUCACUCCAUUUGAUUCUCUUGGGAGGCAGGUGCUAUCAUUGUCCCAUUUUACAGAUGAGGAAACCGAGGCUUAAAAAGUUUAGGCUACCCACCCAAGAUCACAGAGGCAGGAAAUGGAAAAAUGUGGACCCAAACUCAGAUCCGUCUGAGCCUAAAGCUUGUGCUCUUUACCGCACAAUUUGGCCUCCUGCUCUCUAGGCGCCCCUCGCCAGGCUGGCCCUAUCUCCCUUCUAGGUCUCAUCUCCAUGGGCCCUCCUGUCAUUCACUCCAAUUGACUCCCCUUGCAUUUUCGUUCCUCUGGGCCUUUGUGCAUGCUAUUCCUUCUACCUGGAACACCUUUCCCUUUCUUUUGUGCCAUCAAAAGCCUUCCCAUGCAGGGAGCCCUUUCUCUGGGAGUCCCUCCUGGAGGCCCUGGCGGCUCCCACCUCCGACUGUGGAGAGAGCCACUUCCUUCCUGCUGGCCCUUGCAGCGUGCUUCUCUAUGUGACUGCAGCGUGCUGAGUCUGUGCUGGUGUCCAACUGCCACACAUUAACUGAGCACCCAUUUCGUGCCUGGCACUGGGGGCUCUUGGGACAUGGGGGUGAGCCAGAUAGGUGUGUCUCAGCUGUUGCAGCGUUUGCAGCCUUGGGGUGAGGAACAGGCCCAUGCUCAGGACCACACGGCGGCCUGAGUCUUGUGGUGGGGCAGGAUAAGGGGCUUCAAGUGCUCCCAAGAGGAGCACCUAUCCAGGACCAGGAUGGGCAGCAGGGCUCCAUGGAGCAAGUGGUAGUAAACCAAGGUGGAGAGAGUCAAGCCAGGAGGGGGUGAAGGGGGAAAGCAAUGUCUCAGGCAAAGGGAACAGCCUGUGCAAAGGCCCAGGGGUGAUAGAAAGCUAGGUGAGAUCAGAAUGCCACAGAGAUUGGCAUGGCCAGAAAAUAGAGCAUGCAAGGCAAGUGUUGCAAGAACACUCUGGAGAGGCGAGCUCCGACUCUGGCCAAAAACGUUUGCCAGAAUCUUGCCUCUCUCUCCCACUCAUCUGUGGGCUCAGGUGGCUUAGAGGACAGUGUGGCAUGGGAGUUAACAGCCUGGCCUUGCAGCCAGCAAACCCAGGUGUGGCUUGAGUGACUUCAGACAGCUGCUUACCUGUUCUGGGUCCCACUCUCAUCUUUUAAAUGGGAAUCAUCAUACCACCCCCUCCGAGGGCUUGGAGAGGACUGUGUAACGGAAGGGAUGAGCACAGUCUCUGGCCCACGGGAGCAGCUGAAUGCAGGGCUGCUGCAGCGAUGGCAAGAACACAUGGGAACGUGUUAGACACCAUGUUGCUGUUGUCACCAGUAUUCUUACCAUUAUUUCUGUUGUUGGAUCUGAGUCGUCUCUGCCUCUCUUAUGGAUGGCACCAAGGGCUCUGUUGCCUACCCAGCUCUGGGUCCUGGGGAAGGAGCCGGCAAGAUGGCGAGCGCCAGGAUCAUAGAACAACCCCUUUGCCCUCCGCAGCUGUGCGCGGGCCAGGGAAUGAGAGGUCUGUAGCCCUGUGGACUAGUCUGGCAGGGGCUCCGGACACAGAAUCCGGAUGCUAUGUGAACACCCCAGCCUGGCUGGGAAAGCUGCCCACCAGCCCGUCCCCCUCUGCCCUUAUAUGGCCUUCCCUUUCUUGGGGAUGAGUUGAACCUCCUCAGGGUUGGAUGUUCUCGUCCCCCUGCAGGACGCCAGGACGCCUGCUGGGGUGGUGAUUCUUUUCUUGUGGGCAUUCCCAUCUGAUCAAUUUUCUGCCCUCUCUGGCUGCUCUGAGCUGAGGGCUGCCCCCUAAGAACGCAUCACCCAGACCCCCUUGGGCUCUCAAUUCUGGCCGGAUCUGGCCACAGGGAAGCUGCAGCAGGAGAGAGGAGUGUACGGGGAGAGAGGUCAGGCAUCCAUCCCUCUCUCCGUCUGCUCCUUCUUCCACUGUCCUGACAUUGGCUGUGACCAGGACAGCUGUAGCUCCCUGGCUGCUCCUCCUUGGCUCCGGCUCUCAGGCCCCCCAGAGCACCUUCCUUCUCUUCUGCUUGAUCGCUAAGAGGGGUGUGGGCUUCCCGCUGCUCUAGGCCCGGGGGGGCUGCCUUGACCUCUCUUGCUGGUUUCCUUGACCUGCCCCCGCCUCUGAGCACAGCCCUGCUCCGCGCUGUUGCUGUCGCUGUCGCAGGCUGCCUGUCUCCCGCUGACUCCCAUCAGUGUUCCGCGGAGGCUGUCCAGGCUCCUCCAAGAGACCCCGCCCAGCCAGGACCAGGGUGCAGGGCUGCCCCUCUUCUCCUCUCCUGUAACCUGGGUGCCUCCUAAGAGGGCAGGCCAGGGUCCCACAUGGGCACUCGUCCUGGAGGGGUUGGAGCUGCCUGUGGGACUGCAGAGGAAGCCAGGAUUCCAUCACAGAGGGCCUCAGGGGCCAUGGGGGGAGGAUUUGGGGUUUUAAGAACAACAAGCUGUGGCAGAUUUUUGGGAUGGGGAUUGCCAUCCUCUGGUUUACAAAUGUAGAGGAUUUAUCUGCUGAGAGGUUCUAGACGGUCUGUGUAGACCCAGGGAAGCUAUCUGGGGUGCUGGGGCAGUAGUUGCCCUGUGACAUUAUGGGGCUCUGCCACCAUUAGAGACAUCUGCCACCUCCACUGUGAAGCCUCAGCUGGUCACCCACGAAGGGUUGAAGGCUUCCUUCCUGUGUGUUCACAAAACUUUGUCACAGCAGCUAUCACAGUCGCCCCUCCUCCUGUCCGCAGCGCGCCUCUGCCUCAGCGCCCGCUCACUCCCGGGUCCCAGCACGCGCAGGGCCUGCACACAGAGGGUGCGGUAGGGCUGGCGCUUCGCUGAACUGGUUGGGACUGUCUACCUUCAGUGCAAAUGCCUUUGAAGGUGCCUCCUGUUACAACAUGAGUAACUGUUAAGGGAUGCCCAGCGUCAGAUCAGCUUGCGCCGCCUUGUCAGGCAAGGAGAGACAGUGGACAUUGGCUGCGUGCUUCCCCACGCCGCCUCGUCCAGUCCACUUGCCAGCCCUGGGAACAGGCAGUCCUGCCCCGUUUCACAGAGGGGAAACGGAGGCUCAGAAGAGUGGUCUAACUUGGAUCAGGUCGCCCAGCUUGUGAGUGACAGAGCCUGGGUGCCAACCAGGUCUCUCUGUCUCCUAAAGCUGUCAGCGGAGCCAAACGCCGCCAGGAGAACUGGACCAGCCUGCUCAGGAAACUGGCCUGGAAAGGUACAAAGACAUAACAACGAGUGGAACAAAGACCCUGCCCUCAAGAACUCACGUUCCAGCGGGAGAAGACCAACAGUAAACAGGACUGAUUUCUGGCCAAGAGAGUAUGGAAAGGAGUGAAGUACUUCCAGGGCCAGUCCGUAACAACCUCUCACAUCCCCAGCUGUUCCCUGAAGUCACCCAGCAGAGGGCCGAGCCACGGGAGCGGAGGCGCCUGAGCUCCUGUUCUCGAAUGAGCGUGCAGAGCAGAAUCCCUGCCCUCUCCACGAGGAGAAGAGAACUCUUGGAAUGUUGAAGCACUGUUGCUCUGUAAAGACCCCUUUCUGAAGUCACGUAACCUCCAAACCCCCGUCUGGGAAUACAGCACAAAGAGCUCCACUGCUCCACGAAGCAAGCCCAGCUCCCCGCCGGCCGCCUGCUCGCCGAGGCGGGGCAACAACUGUGAGCUGGACAAGAAGCUUUAACUCUGUCAGAAAAGGUCCUGGAGUCCUGAGCAGGAACAGCUGAGCUCCACCUUGGGUGGGUGGUCGCAUUGUUAAAGACUUCAACUAUACCACUAACAAUGGUUCUCUCCUGAGGGCGGGAUUACCAGGGCGCUUCCACAUUCCUCGGCUUAUAUUUCCAUGUUGUUUGAAUUUGUAUUGAAGUCGUAUUAUAUGUGUAAUUUAACAAAUGUGUGUAUUAGUAUAUACUUAAACCCAUCAGGAACAUUAUUCUCGUCGCUAGAAAAAGUGUAAAGUACGCAGAGUGCAGGAGCUGGAGGGAGCUUUGGAAAUAGACCCUAACUCCGACUAUGGUCCAUGGUCCAGCAGCAUCGUCUUCCCCUGAGAGCUUGGUAGAAAUGCAGACUCUCAGACCAGCUCUGGACCUACCAAAUCAAAAUCUGCGUUUUAAGAGAUCCCAGGUGACACUGACAUUUGAAAAGCCCUGAUCUAGUCCAGGCAACUUCCUGAUUUUUACUGCAAAGGAAACAGGAGAGGCAAAGGGAGUCAAAGUUCACACAGCGUGUCGGCACCAAAAUGAAGGCUUCGGCUCCUGUCCGUGGACUCCCAGACCAGGACGCUUCUCCUGCCUCCAGCUUGCCUCUCCAGCCGGUGGUCUUCUAGAACCUCAGCUUAUUUUUCCAUACUUUGUAAGUGAAUGCAUUCUAGUUGCGACACGGAAGGUGAAUGUUAGUCUUCAGUACAGCGCAAUACACUGGGGAGAUAAAGCACAGCAGCCUGGGAGUCAGGGCCACCAGCCCUGGACUGGCCCCGAAUCAUACUCCCACAGUAUUUGAGAAAAAGCCCAAGGUGGAUUUAGGAACAAGCAAGGGUGGGAAAACCAGUAGGGCCAGUGACAUCAGGGCAGCUCUGGAAACUCAGGGGAGGGGAAAUGUUCGGGGAUCCCUUAGUUAUCGGUUCCCAUUUGUGCAGGUGCUGGAAUGAGUCAAUGCUGGUUGCCGUGUCAUGAAGAAGGGAAUCACCUGUGAUUAUCGAGGGCGUAUAGCAGUUUAACCAGCCCAGCUGUUUAGAAUUUGAAUUCAGCUCCCUAUAUACACUCAUUCAGAUGGGAUCAUCCCAGCCUGUCGGCGCGUCUUGAGGAAGAAAGUCUGGGUUUGCCGUGUUGGCUGUUCAUACUGAUCUGAAGACAUCCUCAGACUGGGGUAUAUCUGACUCAAGAAAAGUCUCAGCCUGGCUCCAAACAGCACAGGGGCCAGAUCACAGGAGGGCUCCCUAGAGCGCAUGCACGCAGCCAAGGAGUCCUUGCCUGAGACCUUGAGAGAUACCUCGAGAGGCCAAAGGUGAAGGCUGAGCCAAAAAUACACAAGAAAGGCAAAGUCCUAAACAUCAGAGUUAUUGUCGGGAAAUUAGCUGCGGUGCAGGAAAGGAGCACCAGGGCGAGGCCAGCAGGCAGGAAGAAUGGAAGCAGCUAAGAGGCGGGCUGUGGAGAAAGGCCAAUUCUGGUUCCACCAAUCUCCAGGUGUGAUCUUGGGCGAGCACCUUUCUCUCUCAAAGGCAUCAUAAGUCAAAUUGAUAUUAUUUCAAGUUAAUAUCAUACCUUUUUCAAAAUAAAGCACUGAUUUUUAUAAGGAGAUGAAUAUAAAGUCACCCCCUGCUAUGGUCUGAGUGUGCCCCCCCAGAGUCGUGUGUUGAGGUCCUGAUGCCCAAUGUGAUGUGUUAGGAGGCGGGGCCUUUGGGAGGUGCUUAGGUCCUGAGGGUGGAGACCUCAUGAAUGGGAUUAGUGCUCUAGUAAAUGAGACCCCACAGAACUCCAUAGCCCCUUCUGCCACACGGGGACACAAAGAGAAGUCUGCCACCUGGAAGAGGGCAUCACUCGACCGUGCUAGUCCUGCCAUCUCAGAUUUCCAGCCUCCAGAACUGUGAGAACAAAUUUGUUGUUUUCAAGCUACCCGGUCUGUGGUGUUUUGUUAUAGAAGCCAGAGUGGACGAAGACACACCUUUCCUGAGGGAGUUUUUAGGGGCUUGGGGCAGAGGAACAAACGUUGCUGUAUGUUCAGGCCUACAGGUGAACUGACUCAAGGUUUUAGUGAGUGAGGGCAGAGUGCCAUUCAACCCAGGCUCAGCGAGAGUCCAAGUCCUCAGUCACAAAGCUGCCACGGGUGUUUCCUCAGGACUGAGUCCAGGCCUCGCCUGCCCCGGCCACCCUGAGCAGGGCUUGCUCCCCGCUGUGACAGGAAAUCUGGUGAAGCAGCCUGCUCUGCCCUCCCUCAGCACUCCGGGCUCUCCUCACAGAACUUAGCACAUCGUGCUGUAAAUUGUGCAGGAGAACCCUUUGAGGGUAAGGACUGUGUCGUGUCCCACUGUGACUGCAGCAUUUAAUGCAGUGCCCGACGUGCAAUAAAUUUUCAGUGCAAAAUAUCUGUGGGAUGACUGUGUACCCUUGGCCAGGUUGGGUGGGUUAGAGAUCCAAAUCCAUCUCAUCCUCAUCCAUCUCAUCCUCCGUCCAGUGUAGAUCCUAUAACGUGUGGGCCGGAAGGGUCAAAGCGACAUGUCCUAAACUCCCAUGCAGCCACGCUCUGGAUUUGAUUUAGAUUUGGCCAAUCAGAUGCACAAGCACGAGUUCUGGAAAACAGAAGUGAGGGGUCAAGCCUCCGCUGCCUCUGCUGCUCCUGUGGUGAGCAGGCUUAUGAGGGCGUUUGGUUUUCUGCAGCACCUCCGUGGGGGCCCCACGCUGGGUCGCUUGCUGUGUGGGGUCAAGAGGCAGGGCAUCAUCGGGCGUUCACUCUGUUGGUGCAGAUCGCAGCAGGCUUACGUGGCUCUUCCUGGUCACAGCAGGGCUGGAGUCAUUUUGGAAUAAAAGCUUCCAUUUCAGAGAUGAUCCCAGAAGAGGCAGAAGAUCUCUGGAUUGCCCAGGACCCUGGGGUCACUUCCAAAAGCUUCAGUCCUCCCAAUGACUCCACAAGCCAUUUGGUACUAGAUGUUUCCAGUUAGGACAUUGUUUCAGCUGCGUCAUCAGGACAAAUAAACCUUAAACAAGGUGCCUCUGACUCGUGACUUCGCUCAUCCGUGUUCCUCCCUACACAUUCGUUUUUCUUCACCUCUAUUUUCUCCCUGCAAAACCAGAACCUUCGCAGGUCAGGAAGAAAGCACUGAGCACAAUACCCAACACUUCGUGUGUGUUCAGUAAUCGUUUGUUGACUGUCUAACCUCCUCUGCUCACCGACUGCUCACUCCUGGCUUUGCCUGGCUCCUUACAUCCUGGGACACCUUUGCUUUCCUUGGAAUACCUCACACCUGGGCCAAAAUGUCAGGACAAAAAGGCAGAGCAGGAAAAUGAAAAAAGACACUUUCCACCCACCCAUGGCCCCCUUCUAUUUUCAAGACCAGUUGCACUUCUACAAACAGCUUCCCCUUGGCCAGCUGGAGCCCCAUCAGCCGCCCAGGACUGGAAGCUGACGCCCAUGAGCAGUUGGUUACGGGGUAAUUAGGGAGCCCAGUCAGGGUCAGUAGCUUUUCUAAGUUCCACAACUGACUUGAGCGAGGUGCAGAAGCAGCUGGUGUGUGGAGAUUGUCUGGAAAUACGUCUACAGCUCCCACUGAAGUACCUAUGGGAAUCCUUGGGGACCUCAGCAGGCCAGACAGUUCCUCUCUCCCCGCUGGCCCGCCCUCCAUCCCCUUGCAUGCACGUGCGCACACGCACACACACACUCCACAGUGGGAAUAGUCACCAAGACCUUGGACCUCUCCUACCGCAUAGAAAUGCAGAUGGCUCCUUUCCGAGGAAGGAAGGGCUUGGUCGUAUUGGAAAGAACAGAGACAUUGGAGUUAGACAGACUUCGGUUGGAAACCCAGUUCAUCCACUGACUAGUUUGGUGGCCCUGAGCAAGUCAUUUAACUUCUGUAUCAGUUUCAUUAUUGGAAAAAUGCCUUGUCUUUAUGGAAGAAUUUUUGUUAAUUUUCUAGCAAAUCAAAAGGGUAUUCGAUGGUAAAAAGAUGAGUGUUUGCCAGGGGUUUGGGAGAGGGAAGGAGACAUGAAAAGGUGGAGCACAGGGGAUUUUUAGGGCAGUGAAACUGUUCUGUAUGAUGUGUAAUGGCCAAUACAUUACAUUACAUUCUUGUCAAAACCCACAGAAUGUACAACAUAAGGAGUGAACCCUAACGUAAACUGUGGACUUCAGUUAAAGAUAAAGUAAUAUUGCUUUAUGAAUUGUACCAAAUGUACCACAUUAAUGUAAGAUAAUGUUAGAAGACAAACUGAGGCGUAUUAAAGUUUUACGUUUAUCUGAGCAAACAUCAAUUCCAAUACGGAAGUGCCAAACCGGAAAUGGUCAGGAGGCUCCAGCGACAGGAUCUGGGGGCAGGACUUUGAUAGAGAAGAAACGGAAGCAGAGCACGGGAGUGAUGUGACUGGCUCUAGCUGUCACGGCCUCCUUCUCCGGGAAAGGCUGG
ensembl:lncRNA